rnacentral:rRNA from 1 species
UGGGGAAUUUUGGACAAUGGGGGAAACCCUGAUCCAGCCAUCCCGCGUGUGCGAUGAAGGCCUUCGGGUUGUAAAGCACUUUUGGCAGGAAAGAAACGUCAUGGGUUAAUACCCCGUGAAACUGACGGUACCUGCAGAAUAAGCACCGGCUAACUACGUGCCAGCAGCCGCGGUAAUACGUAGGGUGCAAGCGUUAAUCGGAAUUACUGGGCGUAAAGCGUGCGCAGGCGGUUCGGAAAGAAAGAUGUGAAAUCCCAGAGCUCAACUUUGGAACUGCAUUUUUAACUACCGGGCUAGAGUGUGUCAGGGGGAGGGGGAAUUCCGCGUGUAGCAGUGAAAUGCGUAGAUAUGCGGAGGAACACCGAUGGCGAAGGCAGCCUCCUGGGAUAACACUGACGCUCAUGCACGAAAGCGUGGAGAGCAAACAGG